CCUUCUGAUGGCCCUAAGCCAUCCCUCGAGGUCAAAGAGGGGCUGAGAGGAUGGAUCCUCAUCGUGCCGCAAUACGAGAUACUUCAUAUAAUCCGUCUAUACAGUUUAAAAAUUUAUUAAUCCAUAUAUAUUAGUAUAUAUAAAAAUUUAAUAAAUAAUAUUUUAAAUUAUUACUGUAAUCUAUCGAGAUCGAGGAUCUAAGUAAUCAUCAAUCCUCCUAACUGGUGUGUGGCCUCCCAUAUCUGCAGCUGUUCUGACGCAUGAUCCAGCUACCGUAUCUACAAUAAAUAAAUAAUAAAAUUAAAUUAAUUAAAAUAUACAUAUAAUUAAUUCAAUAUGAAAUUAAUUUAAGUGUAAAAUUUUUAUCAAUCUAUCGGCCACAACAUAUAUGCCAAUAAAGCCAUCAGUGUGCUCGAUCGGAUGCUGCUAGAUGGAUCGACUCUGUCAUGCUCUUUACCGCCUAUCAGAGUGCUCCUCAGUAUGCCACU
rnacentral:lncRNA from 1 species